rnacentral:rRNA from 1 species
AAACCGUUCAGGGGUAAACCUGUGAAACCCAAAAGAUCGAAUGAGGAGAUUCAUCGUCAGCGUUCUCAGUAUUAAUGCAGGCUAUGAUGUGAUGAUAGAAUCCUCGUGGUCACUAGAUUAUACUUGCUUGUAUUAUUUUUGCUGGGUUUGUCGGCGUGCACUUCUCCUCUAGUAGAACGUCGCAACCCGUUGGAUGUUUAUCUAUGGCCUGAUUGGUAGCCUUUGAUACNUUUUGUUUGAAGACCUUUUGGUGUCCUGAUAGACUGUCUGACGGUAUACAANAUAGUAUUGAGCCGCAAUUAUUUGCGUUAGACUUGCUGCAAGUAAGGCUUUAUUCUGGUAGUGCGGAUUUAAUGCUGUCGCUGGNACAAAGUCUGCUGUUACUGUAAUGUCUUUAACUGGCUUAUUUACUGGUUAGCGAUGCUACUGCUUUGGGUACUUACAGGACCCGUCUG